rnacentral:rRNA from 1 species
GAUGAACGCUAGCGGCAGGCCUAAUACAUGCAAGUCGAACGGUGUAGCAAUACACAGUGGCGCACGGGUGCGUAACACGUAUGCAACCUACCUUACAUUGGGGGAUAGCCUUUCGAAAGGGAGAUGAAUACCGCAUAAAACAGUAACUAGGCAUCUAGGAGCUGUUAAAGAUUUAUCAAUGUAAGCUGGGCAUGCGUUCAAUUAGUUAGUUCGCGAGGUAAUGGCUCACCAAGACGAUGGUUGGUAGGGUAACUGAGCGGUCAAUCCCCCACACUGGCACUGAGAUACGCGCCCGACGCAUACGGGAGGCGGCAGUAGGGAGUAGUGGGCAUGGGGGCCAGCCUGACCCAGCCAUGCCGCGGGCAGGGAGAAGGCGUUAUGCGUUGUAAACUGCUUUUAUACAGGAAGAAACGACCCUUGCGAGGGGCAUUGACGGUACUGUAUGAAUAAGCACCGGCUAACUCCGUGCCAGCCGCCGCAGUAACAC